GGGGCUGAUUCUGGAUUCGACGGGAUUUGCGAAACCCAAGGUGCAUGCCGAGGGGCGGUUGGCCUCGUAAAAAGCCGCAAAAAAAUAGUCGCAAACGACGAAAACUACGCUUUAGCAGCUUAAUAACCUGCUUAGAGCCCUCUCUCCCUAGCCUCCGCUCUUAGGACGGGGAUCAAGAGAGGUCAAACCCAAAAGAGAUCGCGCGGAUGCCCUGCCUGGGGUUGAAGCGUUAAAACGAAUCAGGAUAGUCUGGUAGUGGCGUGUCCGUCCGCAGGUGCCAGGCGAAUGUAAAGACUGACUAAGCAUGUAGUACCGAGGAUGUAGGAAUUUCGGACGCGGGUUCAACUCCCGCCAGCUCCACCA
rnacentral:tmRNA from 2 species